rnacentral:rRNA from 1 species
GACGAACGCUGGCGGCGUGCUUAACACAUGCAAGUCGAACGGAAGGGCCCUGCUAUUGUGGGGUGCUCGAGUGGCGAACGGGUGAGUAACACGUGAGUAACCUGCCCUUGACUUUGGGAUAACUUCAGGAAACUGGGGCUAAUACCGGAUAGGAGCUCCUGCUGCAUGGUGGGGGUUGGAAAGUUUCGGCGGUUGGGGAUGGACUCGCGGCUUAUCAGCUUGUUGGUGGGGUAGUGGCUUACCAAGGCUUUGACGGGUAGCCGGCCUGAGAGGGUGACCGGCCACAUUGGGACUGAGAUACGGCCCAGACUCCUACGGGAGGCAGCAGUGGGGAAUAUUGCACAAUGGGCGGAAGCCUGAUGCAGGAACGCCGCGUGCGGGAUGACGGCCUUCGGGUUGUAAACCGCUUUCGCCUGUGACGAAGCGUGAGUGACGGUAAUGGGUAAAGAAGCACCGGCUAACUACGUG